GGUUGAAGUUGAUAGACUUUUGAGACCUGGGGGCUACUUUGUCUGGACUUCACUUACUAACGUGCAGACAUCAAUUCACAACAAAGCUAAUCAGAAGAAGUGGACACUUGUUCGCGAUUUUGCUGAGAUUCUCUGCUGGGAAAUAUUGGCAGUACAGGAUGAAACUGUUGUGUGGAAAAAGACCACCAAACAGAAAUGUUACAGUUCUCGG
rnacentral:misc_RNA from 1 species